rnacentral:rRNA from 1 species
AGUGAACGCUGGCGGUAGGCCUAACACAUGCAAGUCGAACGGCAGCACAGUAAGAGCUUGUUCUUACGGGUGGCGAGUGGCGGACGGGUGAGGAAUACAUCGGAAUCUACUUUUUCGUGGGGGAUAACGUAGGGAAACUUACGCUAAUACCGCAUACGCCCUACGGGUGAAAGCAGGGGAUCUUCGGACCUUGCGCGCUUGACUGAGCCGAUGUCGGAUUAGCUAGUUGGCGGGGUAAAGGCCCACCAAGGCGACGAUCCGUAGCUGGUCUGAGAGGAUGAUCAGCCACACUGGAACUGAGACACGGUCCAGACUCCUACGGGAGGCAGCAGUGGGGAAUAUUGGACAAUGGGCGCAAGCCUGAUCCAGCCAUACCGCGUGGGUGAAGAAGGCCUUCGGGUUGUAAAGCCCUUUUGUUGGGAAAGAAAAGCAGCAGGUUAAUACCCCGCUGUUCUGACGGUACCCAAAGAAUAAGCACCGGCUAACUUCGUG